rnacentral:misc_RNA from 1 species
GUGAAUCAUCAAAUUUUUGAACGCAAAUUACGCCUUUUUCGGAAGGCAUGUCUGUGUGAGGGCACCAUUUAACAAAUAAUGUACCGCGUUGUGUGUAUAUAUGCCGUGCACACGUUGAUGAGCUUUCCACGAAUUUUAAAUUUUUGGUGGCGCAUACUGCACAGCAUGAAAGUUUUUUUCAGUUCGACUGUUGAAAAAUCUUUGCUUGGCUUGUGAAAAACCAUAAUCCCGUA